GUCCACGCCCUAAACUAUGAAUACUCGGUCUUGGCGAUAUACAGUCAGGGCCCAAGCGAAAGCGUUAAGUAUUCCACCUGGGAAGUACGAUCGCAAGAUUGAAACUCAAAGGAAUUGACGGCGGCCCCGCACAAGCGGAGGAGCAUGUGGUUUAAUUCGAUGAUACGCGAGAAACCUUACCUGGGCUUGAAUGUGAGUGACCGGUGCCGAAAGGUACUUUCCCCGCAAGGGGCACAAAACAAGGUGCUGCAUGGCUGUCGU
rnacentral:rRNA from 1 species